rnacentral:rRNA from 1 species
GACGAACGCUGGCGGGGUGCUUAACACAUGCAAGUCGAACGGAAAGGCCCUGCUUUUGUGGGGUGCUCGAGUGGCGAACGGGUGAGUAACACGUGAGUAACCUGCCCUUGACUUUGGGAUAACUUCAGGAAACUGGGGCUAAUACCGGAUAGGAGCUCCUGCUGCAUGGUGGGGGUUGGAAAGUUUCGGCGGUUGGGGAUGGACUCGCGGCUUAUCAGCUUGUUGGUGGGGUAGUGGCUUACCAAGGCUUUGACGGGUAGCCGGCCUGAGAGGGUGACCGGCCACAUUGGGACUGAGAUACGGCCCAGACUCCUACGGGAGGCAGCAGUGGGGAAUAUUGCACAAUGGGCGGAAGCCUGAUGCAGCAACGCCGCGUGCGGGAUGACGGCCUUCGGGUUGUAAACCGCUUUCGCCUGUGACGAAGCGUGAGUGACGGUAAUGGGUAAAGAAGCACCGGCUAACUACGUGCCAGCAGCCGCGGUGAUACGUAGGGUGCGAGCGUUGUCCGGAUUUAUUGGGCGUAAAGGGCUCGUAGGUGGUUGAUCGCGUCGGAAGUGUAAUCUUGGGGCUUAACCCUGAGCGUGCUUUCGAUACGGGUUGACUUGAGGAAGGUAGGGGAGAAUGGAAUUCCUGGUGGAGCGGUGGAAUGCGCAGAUAUCAGGAGGAACACCAGUGGCGAAGGCGGCUCUCUGGGCCUUUCCUGACGCUGAGGAGCGAAAGCGUGGGGAGCGAACAGGCUUAGAUACCCUGGUAGUCCACGCUGUAAACGGUGGGUACUAGGUGUGGGGUCCAUUCCACGGGUUCCGUGCCGUAGCUAACGCUUUAAGUACCCCGCCUGGGGAGUACGGCCGCAAGGCUAAAACUCAAAGGAAUUGACGGGGCCCCGCACAAGCGGCGGAGCAUGCGGAUUAAUUCGAUGCAACGCGUAGAACCUUACCUGGGUUUGACAUGGAUCGGGAGUGCUCAGAGAUGGGUGUGCCUCUUUUGGGGUCGGUUCACAGGUGGUGCAUGGCUGUCGUCAGCUCGUGUCGUGAGAUGUUGGGUUAAGUCCCGCAACGAGCGCAACCCUUGUUCACUGUUGCCAGCACGUUAUGGUGGGGACUCAGUGGAGACCGCCGGGGUCAACUCGGAGGAAGGUGGGGAUGACGUCAAGUCAUCAUGCCCCUUAUGUCCAGGGCUUCACGCAUGCUACAAUGGCUGGUACAGAGAGUGGCGAGCCUGUGAGGGUGAGCGAAUCUCGGAAAGUCGGUCUCAGUUCGGAUUGGGGUCUGCAACUCGACCUCAUGAAGUCGGAGUCGCUAGUAAUCGCAGAUCAGCAACGCUGCGGUGAAUACGUUCCCGGGGCU